ACACACAACUUGCUUUGUACACAAAAUGGAGCCUCACUCAGAGCUUCCCCUGCAGGGACUUUUGCACUCAAGGACUCCUGUACGGAGCAGACCCUCACCAACAACACCUGUCUGACUGCAGGCCCAUAUAUUCCGAUGAGCCCACUGCUGCAAUCCUUACACACCUGCAAGCUGGCUGUGGCACGACUUCCCGUGAUAGUUCUGUACCAGCUCACCUGCUGCUGUAGGGGGUUCACCAGAACUGCUAGGGAGGCAGUGCCUGGGGUGCCAGAGCUGGAGGAGGUCCAUCUGAAACCUGAUGAAGACUCUGGUUCUUCUCCCUUGCCCACCCUCCUGUAAUGCUGCAAUCCAUGGAGGACAAAGUGGGAAAGGCUGAGGGUGGUUGAGCCCUACCAGGUGUGCCAUUCCCCGGUAUGCUGCUCUCCCUGCAACACCUGGUAUGUUGGCUGACAGAUACAGUCACCCAGACUUGAAGUAGAAUCAAAGAUGGCAUUAGGAAAACCCCAGAAGCUUCACAUAGGAACAAUGUCAGAUGUUAAAAUCAGUCUUCAAGUCUUCCUUAAACUAAUCCUUCCUUCAACAGCCAAAUAAACACCACCAGCCAUCCAGAGCAAGGGCAAUGCACUUUACCAGCAAUGUUUCCAGUUUGUCCUGCAGUAGUUCCAUGUAGACCCUCAUGAAAUCUCAUUUUCUUUAGUCUCCCACUUUUUUAUGAGCUCUUUCCUCCCCUCGCCUCCCCUCACCCUUCUGCUCUUCUCCCCUUUCCCUUCUCUUCUCUUUUCGUGGAGAAGCCAUGGGAGCAACGUUGUUUGAACAACACUCUCAGAGAUAUAGGCUUUGAGGUUUGAGUGGUGCUGUGUGGAGUCAGGUUGGACCUGAGGAUUCUUUUGGAUCAAUUCCAUUGUGAGAUUUUUUUUAGUUUCAUAAUUCUGUGAUUCUAACAGGGUGUAGAGAGAUGCUAGCCUUCCUUGGCCAGCUGUCUCUUCAAAAUGAAAGCCUUGGAACCACUCCUCGUGUUAUCUGGGGAAGGAACAUGGGGUGGGUUUGGUGCAGGUUUGGUUCAGGACGGGGAGCAGCAAUAGGUGCUUGUGAGCUUUCCUGGAUGGUGAAGCUGUAAGCUCCAAGGUUCAGCCAUAAGCAGAGCCCUAUCUCAGAUUCCGAAAGCAUCCAUUGCUGUGGCGUGAAUCCAAGGAAACAAAGCAAAAUAUCAUUUUGGACAUUUUGCCUAGCGUCAAAGCACAGAAACAGCACUAUGAAGACACAGUGUUCUUGCUAGGGUCACUUCUGUUACCGUCUCAAAACACUCCUCCAGUGAGGAACACAAGCAUCUUCUCCACCAGCCUACAGAGCUUUUGCCUGCUCCUUUCUGUCUAUUUUUUUUUCCAGGGUCUGCAUGCUCGCAGACAAAACUGCCAAUCCAGAACACUAAUCAUGGCAAGUUCCCUGCACAACACGCAGUCACAAGCAAAAACUCUGAGGUCCCCACCCACCACCCUGCUUGGCCCUGCAGGCAGAAAAAGCAGCACAAAGCUCAGCGGGAUCCAACUGUGAGCUCUGAGGAAGUUGUUUCCCAAGACCACUAAAACCAUCUCCAUGCUAAAUCCAAGCCAGAAGGAAACUACUGUUUUCUUUCUUUAUUUUUAAUUUUAAAUGGGUGAAGGCUACCCCCUGUGGAGAACUGCGGAACUCAACCCAAGGGCAGAGCAAGACAUGAAAAAGAAGAGUACCACCAGCUUCACCCCAUGUGUUUGCGUUCCUGGGGAACCAGAUUAUGUUCCUGGCAAAUAUUGCCUUUGGUUUUUGGAAAAAAAAAUUUUCUCAGUGCUUUCAGAGUGCAUGUAUAGACAAUGACAAGAGGAAGGACAAUGUGGAGGGAAGCAAGUAGCUCAAGAGCGGGUUUGAGGGGAACAAAACAGGGAAUUGUAUGUAUGAUGGGGCCCUCCCAAGCUUCAGAAGUGAUUCAAGGUAGGAGUCUGUCUAUUUCCUUUUGGAGAGUCCAUGUCAGCCUCCUGGUGGCAAUGAUCUACUAAUCAGAUCGAGGAUAUAUUGCUGUUGGUAGUUACACUGAAACAGCUGAAGUCAAUAAAAGCCAAUUGUAAAUGAAGGAGCCACAGAAUUUUCCUGUUGCC